CACAUACUCCCUCCGUCCGGAAAUACUUGUCGCAGAGAUGGAUGUAUCUAGACAUAUUUAAGUUCUAGAUACAUCUAUUUUUAUCCAUUUCUUCGACAAGUAUUUCCGGACGAAGGGAGUAUCUU
rnacentral:pre_miRNA from 1 species